GCCAGGUGUGGUGGCAUGUGCCUGUAGUCCCAGCUACUCAGGAGGCUGAGGCUGGAGGAUCGCUUGAGUCCAGGAGUUCUGGGCUGUAGUGUGCUAUACCAAUUGGGUGUCCGUACUAAGUUUGGCAUCAAUACAGUGACCUCCCGGAAGCGGAGGACCACCAGGUUGCCUAAGGAGUGGUGAACUGGCCCAGGUUGGAAAUGGAGCAGGUCAAAACUCCCAUGCUGAUCAGUAGUGGGAGUGCACCUGUGAAUAGCCACUGCACUCCAGCCUGGGCAACAUAGCAAGACCCUGCCUCU
rnacentral:SRP_RNA from 1 species